ACAGUUCGGGCGGCCACUGCGACUCAUCCUGGCCGCGCGCUGGUUGGGCCCCAGUGGGGACCGUUGGUGUUUCCAUCGAAGACGGUCAGCGACACCAUAGAAACGUGUAGGAGAGAUGCGGUGCCUGUGUCUGCUGGGGCUAGCAGCCGUGCUGCUGGCCUUAGGCAGUGCUCAGAAAGCAAAUCGACUGAAAUUCCCUCACAAGUCUCUGGAGCCUCAGCCAUUCUCGCCAAAGCCAGCCAAGCUGCCGAAGGUGUCUCUGCGACUUCCACCGCCCAAACGGCUGUAUGACGGGCGAAGGGACCCGGCCGGCUCUCCCGGACAGGCCGUCGAGGGCUCCUUCAAGGCGACGCACAGCAAGCACGGCGUCGUGGGAGGAAAGUACGGGGCUGGUGUGAGAGUGCUGAACAAGGCAGGGGUCAAGGUCAGCCUCAGUGCUGUAACCGACAAGAAGCUUAAAAGAGGCGCUGUCGGCUUACAUGCAAUAAUUCGGAUUGGCGGUGGGCGUCGAGGGCGAAGGAGAAGAAGUAGGAAACCCCGAGGAGGAGGAGGAGGAAGAAAAGGCAGAAAACCCGGCACAGUAGGAGGAAUUAAAAACAGUCACCGUGGAGGAAGCGGAAGAGCAUUGAUUGGAACAGGCAAAGGAUGGACUGGAGGAGGUAUAAGCGGUGGAGGUGCAGGAGGGGGAGGGGGAACGAAAGUGGACAAGGGACAGACAAAAGGGGGUGGUGGAAAGGCCAAGGAUGUGGAAAAAAGAUCAUUUGCCGAAGACGCUGAUACGGCUUGAUGAGUUGAUGACGCAAGGAGCUCCUUAUGUCUUAAUCUACAGAUGCCCAGUUAAACGAUCGUUUCGGUCGAUAAUUUCAAUUCGUAUAGUUGUCACAGGCAAUGUGUGAAAUCAGGCAUUAUAGAAUGCCUAGGCAUUCUAUAGAAUGCCUGACCGACCAGGCAUUCUAUAGAAUCCCUAGGUAUUCUAUAGAAUCCCUGAUUGCUUAGGCAUUCUAUAGAAUGUCUAAGUAUUUUGGUUGUUCGAAACACACUUCGAAAUUUAGAGGUCAGUGGCAGUAAUGCUAUUUAUCCGUCGCGCCUGCGCUCGCAAAAAACUGACUUUGAUGAACGUGGGGCUGUAUUCGAAGCAAAGGUGUACAAAGUACAGUUUUUUGGUGAGGUGAUGACACGAUACAUGAUGAAUACAGUCCGGUAACCACUACAUUGCCUGUAACAUAGUCAUUGAAAACCUUCAUUACGUGGAAGUUUGUAUAUCUAUUAAGUUUAUUGUGUGUUUCGUACCAAGAGAAUCAAAAGUCAUGAGGACCGUAAUUACAGGUUUAUAGAAAAGGACCAAUGUUAUGCAUAAAUUUCAUAUCAUGAUAAUGAAAUGAGUUUGUUUGGUUUUGAGGGCAUAAAUGAGCUCUUUGGCCUCGUUAAACCGGACUAGACUUUAAUAAACUACCCCCAGUUGAACUC